rfam:Oryza glumipatula chromosome 5, whole genome shotgun sequence.
UUUAAGUGAAACUAUAAGUUUCCGUGCUCAACUUUAACUGUUCAUUUUAUUUGAAAUUUUUUAUAAUUAGUAUUUUUGUUGUUAUGAGAUGAUAAAACAUGAAUAUUACUUUAUGCGUGACUUAUGUUUUUAUUUUUUUAAUUUUUUUAAAUAAGAAGGACGAUUAAAGUUGGACAUAGAAACUCAUGGCUGCACUUAAA